rnacentral:rRNA from 1 species
AGUCGAGGGGCAGCACAGGGUAGCAAUACCUGGGUGGCGACCGGCAAACGGGUGCGGAACACGUACAGAACCUUCCUUCGAGCGGGGAAUAGCCCAGAGAAAUUUGGAUUAAUACCCCAUAGUAUAAUGGUGUGGCAUCACAUUAUUAUUAAAGAUUUAUCACUUGAAGAUGGCUGUGCGUAUGAUUAGGUAGUUGGCGGGGUAACGGCCCACCAAGCCUACGAUCAUUAACUGGUGUGAGAGCACGACCAGUCACACGGGCACUGAGACACGGGCCCGACUCCUACGGGAGGCAGCAGUAAGGAAUAUUGGUCAAUGGACGCAAGUCUGAACCAGCCAUGCCGCGUGGAGGAUGAAGGUCCUCUGGAUUGUAAACUUCUUUUAUCUGGGACGAAAAAAGGCUUUUCUAAGUCGACUGACGGUACCAGAUGAAUAAGCACCGGCUAACUCCGUGCCAGCAGCCGCGGUAAUACGGAGGGUGCAAGCGUUAUCCGGAUUCACUGGGUUUAAAGGGUGCGUAGGCGGGUAUGUAAGUCCGUGGUGAAAUCUCCGAGCUUAACUCGGAAACUGCCAUGGGUACUGCGUAUCUUGAAUGUUGUGGAGGUGAGCGGAAUAUGUCAUGUAGCGGUGAAAUGCUUAGAUAUGACAUAGAACACCAAUUGCGAAGGCAGCUCACUACACAAAUAUUGACGCUGAGGCACGAAAGCGUGGGGAUCAAACAGGAUUAGAUACCCUGGUAGUCCACGCCCUAAACGAUGAUUACUCGACAUACGUGAUACACAAUGUGUGUCUGA